GGGGAGCAAUUGUUUAAGUGGUUCGAGAAGAAGAGGAGGGAAAAGAAUUUUUUAAUCGGGAGCUCUGACUGAAGUUUUUUGUCAUUGACUCUAUUCUGGCCGUACGCCCAGCUUCUGCAUCAUCCCUUUAUGGUAGUGACUCCUUUUUUGGAGUUGACCAGAACUUUAUUGACUUUCUCUUGAAUAUUGUUCUGCGAAACAAUACCAACGGACCGAGUCUUGUACUUGGCUUGGUACUUAUAAUCAUCGUCAACUUUUUUCUGUUGUUAUUGGGAAUUUCUCCAGCUUGAUCCACGAAUAGAGUCAAUCUUAACAUGAAAUUUUUGGCCAACACCUGAUUAAGGGUAGAGGAAUGAGUGAAGUCUCGGAGAGGGAUUGUUUUAUCUUCACUGGUGUAGGCUUAAAAAGUCUUUUGAGUUUGUCCCACUCAAGGAUGUACUUCUCAUACACGCCAUCCAUGGACUCUCUAAGACUCAUUAGGUUAGAGAUGGUGAGAGUCCCAGAGACCGAAAACUACCACUUGACGUAUCAAAAAAACUUAAACAAUUUUUUUCCAGAGCAAAAACAGUUUACGCCUAUGGUUAUAUUAUAUUAAAAAAAGGUUUAGCUGAACAAGUUCAGAAGAUUAAAGACACCAAG